rnacentral:rRNA from 1 species
ACAGCAGCAGCCGCGGUAAUACCGAGGGUGCGAGCGUUAAUCGGAUUUACUGGGCGUAAAGCGUGCGUAGGCGGCUUCUUAAGUCGGAUGUGAAAUCCCUGAGCUUAACUUAGGAAUUGCAUUCGAUACUGGGAAGCUAGAGUAUGGGAGAGGAUGGUAGAAUUCCAGGUGUAGCGGUGAAAUGCGUAGAGAUCUGGAGUAAUACCGAUGGCGAAGGCAGCCAUCUGGCCUAAUACUGACGCUGAGGUACGAAAGCAUGGGGAGCAAACAGGAUUAGAUACCCCCGUAGUCCCUGUCUCUUAUAC